GACGAACGCUGGCGGCGUGCUUAACACAUGCAAGUCGAACGGAAAGGCCCUGCUUUUGUGGGGUGCUCGAGUGGCGAACGGGUGAGUAACACGUGAGUAACCUGCCCUUGACUUUGGGAUAACUUCAGGAAACUGGGGCUAAUACCGGAUAGGAGCUCCUGCUGCAUGGUGGGGGUUGGAAAGUUUCGGCGGUUGGGGAUGGACUCGCGGCUUAUCAGCUUGUUGGUGGGGUAGUGGCUUACCAAGGCUUUGACGGGUAGCCGGCCUGGGAGGGUGACCGGCCACAAUGGGACUGAGGUAGGGCCCAGACUCGUACGGGAGGCAGCAGUGGGGAAUAUUGCACAAUGGGCGGAAGCCUGAUGCAGCAACGCCGCGUUCGGGAUGACGGCCUGCGGGUUGUAAACCGCUUUCGCCUGUGACGAAGCGGGAGUGACGGUAAUGGGUAAAGAAGCACCGGCUAACUACGUG
rnacentral:rRNA from 1 species